rnacentral:lncRNA from 1 species
CACAAACAUUCAGAGACAAAGAGAGGGACAAGACUGGCAGACACUCAAUGGUGAGCAAGAACAGGGAAAAGGAAAGACCUCCCAAAGGCCAGAGGAGUGAAAGAAAGUCUGAAGGCACAGGAGCCCGAGCCCGACAAUGAGAAGGAAUGGAAUGCCUGAGAUCAGUGGGAAGCGCUUAGAUGAUAAGAAACACGGAAGUAAAUGGUCUAAUUUAUGGUCUAAAAAAAACCCUCUGGAUAUCUUUGGGAAAGUGAAUAUGAGAAGCUGAGCAGGCAAGCUGCAAACAGAUGAACAGACCUCUAGGUAGUCACUUGUGGUGAUGCGACACCAGAGAAAAGGAACAGGAGGCAGAAGACAGGAACCAUUCACUGGCAAGUUGUGAUAUGGGGUUUCUCCCAGGCUACGACUCUAGUGAGAUUAAAAGAUAGAAAAGAGCAUUCCCAUUCAAAAGCAUUUAAGAUGAAGAAGAUGAAGCCCAGAAAGGAUGAAUGAUAUGGGCUAUGUGCCUCAUAGGAGGAGCUGAACCCAAACACAAAGUUCCUUACUUUCCAAAUGUCCACCAACUAUGUUGCAAGCAGCCUUUCAUUUUGUACUCCAAGGCACUGAUAACAAUUUUGAGUUAUAGAAGCUCUACCUACUAUGAAAUUGAAUUAAAU